CUCAUCCCAUCUGGAAGGAUAUAAUAGCUGAAAACCUUCUCUAUGCCUCACAGGUUCUCCUUUGUAACUAAACCGCUCUCUCAAAUUGGUGGUAGUGAAGUCCAUUCACUUUGUGAAGGUCCAGUGAUCUGGAAGGAAGCCUGGAACUCCUUGUGGCCUGAAUGUACUCGCAACCUCUCCCCUUGUGAGUCCCUGCCACAGUGGCGACCGAGAAACCACCCUGCUGGUCACUAGAAGGUGUGCAAUUGCUCCCCACUACAGACUCCUAGAGAGACAGUAUUCACCAUCUUCCGAGGCAAAUAUUAAUUACAUUAUUCUUACUGAGGUCUGAAGAGAGUCUACAACUUGGGCCAGGUGUGGAGUGAGAGGUGGAGAGAAGAUUCAGACUCAAGAGUUUAACAUCAUCCUGACACUAAGAAAAUAUUGAAUAAAGAGCAGUUGGGUUGAAUUAAAUGUAGAUGAACAAAGGCUGCUGACCACCAACCAAUCUUCCCCCUCUGCCUGCUGACAUUUCCACCCCAGCCAUCACAAAACUGUCUUCAUAAUUUGCCUCUUCCACUUUCCCCUCCUAAGGAAAUGCUUGUCGUUAUGGGAA